UGUGGGCAGCCUCGUGUGUGUGUGGUGGUGGGGGUUGUGGUAGGGACCUUGCAAUAUCUCUAAGCUCAAAAUAAGGACAUUGGACUCUAAAAACUACCAAAAACCAUACAUCGGAAACUCUUGGGUUCAUCAUGAUAAUAAAUGAAGUCUCACAUAACUAGCUUUCAUUUUUAUGCCUCUUGAGUUCUCAGGUUUCCCCACCCCCCCCCACCAGGCUCUUUUGAUUAUGGGAAAUGAGUGUGUUUUGGGACAAACAUGUCAGGAUUAUGAGGGAGAAACUUGGCAGGGGAGCAAACUGUGCAAUAUGCUUGACAAGACUUGAGAAACAAUACAUCUCAGAUUUUUUCAGAUAGUUCUCAAUUUCUGGUUCAGAAAUAUGGCCCAGAAGCUACAGAAAGGGAAGCACCACUGCAGCUCCACGGAGGGUCACUGCCUCUUAGACUUCACUAAGGAGCCAACAGGGGCCAUUUAUGCCCAGAAAGCUGAGGUGUCUGCAGGAGGGGAACUUACUCCUGCUUCCACCAGGAGUACAUGGAAAUUGAAAAGAGAGAAUUUAUGUUUUUUUGCCUUAAAUGAGAAAAACAGAAGGUAGAUCUCCCAAGGCAGAACAUCUGUAAUGAUAGAGCAGUAAGGAAUAUGAGGAGGGAAACAUGAGCAUGUUUGCAUAAACAUUUAGAUUUUUCUGGGCUUGCCCAAUCCCAGUCUUUUGGAGUCUGUCUUUUAUGAGGGCAACCGUGGUUUAAGAGUGAGCAAAUGUUAGUUCAUGUAAUUAAAACCCGUUGAAUUGAACAGGAAACAUUCACGGGAAAUCUGCAGGUGUCUGCAAGCAAGAGUGACGCUAGAAGGAUCUUAGUAUGCCAGCUCCCUCUUCCUCAAGGGUAGUGUCCCUGGAAUGAAGCCACCAGCAACAGGAGAGGAAACAGAUGGGGUUGUAGAAAGUAGGAGCAGCAAAAGCUUCUGAACUUAGUAAUAAGCUGCUUGCCCCGGGCUGCAUCGCGAGAGCUCAGAAGCUCAGUCAAUGCAAAACAGAAGGCACUGAGGGAAAAUUUCAGAUGAGAAUGGACGUACCCUCUCCAGAGGCAAAGAAGUUUGCAAAUUACUUUUUGAAGCCCUCUCUAUAUAAUUUUGAGGUUAAAAAUGCUUUCCUCCUGCGAAGGAGAGAUUUUAAUCUGGAUUGUAUGCUGGAGCUCAAUGAUUGAUCCAAAUCAGAGUCCAGAGGCCUCAUGGGAAUGAUGAUCGUCAGGGCUACAGUGGGGCAACUGCAGAUGGAGCUUGCCCCUCUCCUCCAUAAAUGGGGAAGAGCCUCUCACCUCCAGUGAGGUUUUGUGCAUAAGAAAGGGGAGGCUUGUUAGAGACAGCAGCUUUGAAAACUUAAUUCUCCUUGCCAAGAACUAAUGGACUAUCUUCAAUGUGCAUGAAAAUGUGUCUGCACAGUGACCAGAGAAGCCAAAAUGAGGCCUCUGCAGACCUAAUUUGGCAUCAAUUUAUCUCCAUAUGAGAAAGUCUGGUUGUACUUAUUUUACUCUCUGCUCUAACCAAGAAAAAAACAAAAACCCGGCAAAGGUUCAUUGAGACAACAGUCGGUCACUAAAAAGGAAUUUGAACCAGUCGGUCACAGAAAAGGAAUUUGAACGAAGAUAACGUAGUUACAUUUUACCCACAUGUUCCUGAGGCCAGUGUGCUAAUAGUUAACAAAUGCUAUUUAGCCCAUCACCAUUAGAUUAACAUUUAACCAAAUCAGCAUAGACUUUGUGUGACUAAAAGAAUCUACAAACACACACACACACACACACACACACACACACACAUCUUUUUUUUUUUUUUUUGAGACGGAAUCUCGCUCUGUUGCCCAGGCUGCAGUGCAGUGGCACAAUCUCGGCUCACUGCAACCUCCAUCUCCCAGGUUCAAGUAAUUCUACUGCCUCAGCCUUCUGAGUAGCUGGCAUUAUAGAUGUACGCCACCAUGCCUGGUUAAUUUUUGUAUCUUUAGUAGAGAUGGGGUUUCACCAAGUUGGCCAGGCUGGUCUCAGAACUCCUGACCUCAAGUGAUCUGCCCGCCUAGGCCUCCCAAAGUGCUGGGAUUACAGGCGUGAGCCACCACACCCAGUCACAGAUAUCUUUUGAUAUCUCAAGAACUAUGGACGGAAUUAAAGAAUUCCAAGACCAAUUAAAGAAUUUCAAGUGAGACAAUUCAUUUUCUUAUGAUCUUGGUCCUGUGUUUGGAGAGGCAAAUGUGUGUUUUAGUGAAAUGUAAAUCCAGGGAGAAGGUGCAGUAGAAGAAACUGCUCACCUGUCCUUGUAGCUAUAGCUAACCUUUAUGGAGCUCUAUCAGCUAGGCAGUAUUUACUCAUCAGUUCUGGGAGGUGAAUGCUGUUAUAAUCUCCAUUUUCCAAAUGUGACAACAGAGACACAGAGAAGUUAAGUGACUUGCCCAACAUCAAACAGCUAGUUUUACAGGACCAUGCUCCUUGUAUAAGUUGUUACACAUGGUCCCCCUAGCUUUGUGGCUCACGAUCCUGUGUGCAGAAUGCUAUUGUGGAAAGCAGGGAGAAAAUCAAGCUGCGGUAUACUGGGAGAGAAAGAACAAAGGAAAGCUCUUAAGGCGACAACAAGGACAAUGUCUCCAAGGACAGUGCAAUUUCCCAUCAGUGAGGUACUGGUCAGGCUCCCCAGCCUCAGAGGCCCAUCCAGGGUUUCUUCGCUGCCAGAGUCAUGCUGUUCAACUGCUCGUAGGGGUGCUUCAGCCCUGGAAAGGAGUCCAGGCGGUAGGGCUGCCAGAGACCUGGCUGGUCUAUCCAAAGACAAAGGAGGAUGCCAUUCCUCUGUAAGUUCUCUUUCAAAUGACCUUUCUGAGAUAGAUCCUGUUUGCUUUAGUGUCUGCCCUCCUCAGUACAUCCUCCCCGGCUCCAAAAAGACACAUCCCUUGAUAUUCAUCCAGUUCUCCCAAUGGCCUUGGAUGCUUGUGACUGUGCUUCUCAGGGGAAUGGAGUCAUUCCUAGUGCUGGGUUUCUGGAAGGAUCUUAUCAGAGUGAAUGUAGUGUGACGUUUGGAUACAGAUUGGCUUAUUAGCAAAAGCACCUUUUAACACUGAUGCUGCCCGUUUUCCCUGGAAAAUGAGCCUCUGUUUAAUCCAAAUAAUAUAUGGAGAAUGUUCAGAACUGUGAUGUUACCAUCUGUUGCUGGAAAUUGAAAAGCAGAGAGGAAAUAUGCUAAUACCUCUCUUUGGAAUUUCUUCACCUGCCCUCUCAGUAUAGUAACAGUCUGUUAGGUCUCAAACCUUUGCACCAUUUAUCAUUAGGCCAUAAGAUAAUGAAUGCCUCUGGCCCUAAAAUGUGCAUCAUUACAAUCAUUUGGUUUAAAAAUAUAUGAGUAUCUCUAAUAAAAGGGAUGAUUAUAUCAAUUUUAAAAACUUAAAAAUCCAACGGCAAGUCCUCUUGGUUAAACCCGUAAUAUCAGGUCUCAUAGUUUUAUGUUUUAUUUAUUUAUUUUUUUGAGAUGGAGUCUCACUCUGUCACCCAGGCUGGAGUGCAGUGGUGUGAUCUCGGCUCACUGCCACCUCCGCCUCCUGGGUUCAAGUGAUUCUCCUGACUCAGCCUCCCGAUUAGCUGGGAUUACAGGUGUGUGCCACCACACCAGGCUAAUUUUUUGUAUUUUUAGUAGAGAUGGAGUUUUGCCAUGUUGGCCAGGCUGGCCUUGAAUUCCUGACCUCAAGUGAUCUGCCUUCCUUGGCCUCCCAAAGUGCUGUGAUUACAGGCAUGAGCCAUGUGCCUGGCCAGGUUUAGUUUUAAGCUAAUGAUUUAAAGUAUAAUUUAGUUGUUCCUCUGAAGAUUAUAACUUUAAAAAAAGUCACAUUUGGAGAUAAUUGUUCACAUUUGCCUGAGGAUGUUUCUAUUUGAAAAUGCAUAAUAGAAUGUAAAAUUAUGAUUUAUAAUAGCUUUCAGUUUAUAAUUAAAAUCAAAAUGGGAACAUUCAAGUAAAUGAAACAACUAGAUAUUUCUAAAAGGUAUUCUUUAUAUGAAGAUUCAAGGUAACAUGUUUUGUUAGCAUUCUUCCACAUUGAUUUAAAUUGGUUUUUUUGCUUUUAUGCAGGUGAGGUGGGGAGGAGCAGAUGUUUUGCCUCUAGUGAGACAAUAAUUUACUUCCCUAUUAUUGUUUGACUUUGCCUUGUUUCUGCCUAUGAAUUACUAACAGAGGCUUGCAGCACUAUCUAUGGGGCCUGAAACAUACAAUAAGGGGCCAGAAGGCCUUGAGAGAGCUGAAAAAGAAAUCAUCACCCUAGCCUCACCCAGUCACCUGUCUCCAGGCAAAAUAAUUCCCUGUCCUUCAUGAUGAUUCGGAGAAGACCAGCCCCACUCAGCUGCUGUUGCCAACCAACCAUAGUUCUUGUUACCCUGGGCCACAAGUGCCUUAUCCACUAGAUUGAGAAAGUUAAUGCCAGAGGGAAGUGAGAAACUAACUAUGGAAGAGUGGACCCAUGUUGCAAAAACAAAGUUCUAGGGAAAGACGUGAACAAAGAUGGGUGAGUAUGAAUGGGGUCUGACUGGAACAUGGCAGAGAAGAAAUUCAACUAUGCAAUGAGAUAAAGCAAAGAUUCUAAUGAAAGACUGAUGUGGUCAUAAACAAACAAACAAACAAACAAAAAACAGGUGCCCAAUGAAUACUUCUAACUGAAAAAAAAUCUGAAGAUGCUGGUCAGAGGAUCCUCAGGAGGGAAAAAACCUGACUUUCCUUGGUAAGGGCCUGUGGAGCAAGUAAUUGCAGCUUGAACCAUGGGGUCUCCUUGGAGCUGCGGGCACCAAGCAUCAGAUCUGAACACAGAAGCUGGGCCAGUUUGUUAAGUAGGGUGCGGCAGAGACUGUUAGUUGCCUAUCCAAUAUCCAGUCUCCUCUUUUUCCUUGGUCACAUAACCCAGAUUUUAAUCUGGGUGGCAGUGUGCUCAGCUGAAAGACUACACUUGGAAGCCACAUUUGCAGCCUGAGGGCCAGUGAGACAUAAGCAGAAGUUGUUGGGUAGUCUUCUGUGGACUCCUUAAGAGGGAAUAGACUACUCACAGACUCCUUUUUCUCCUUCUCCCUUCCUUCCAUGCCUUUCUGGAACAGGAAGUUUAACAUGAUGAUUGGCGCUCUAGCUGUCACAUUGGACCAUGAAGUUAUGUUGUUUUUUUUUUUAAUUAAUUUUUAGUUUUAUUUCAGUGGUUUUGGGGGUAUAGGUGGUUUUUGAUUCCACGGAUAGGUUCUUUGGUGGUGAUUUCUGAGAUUUUAGAGCAGUGUACACUGUACCCAAUAUGUAGUCUCUUAUCCCUCACCCCUCCCAACUUCUCCCCACACCGAGUCCCCAAAGUCCGCUAUGUCAUUCUUAUACCUUUGCAUCCUCAUAGCUUAGGAAGUGAUCUUGAAGAUGAAAGCCAUAUUCUAAGGAUGGCAGGACGAAAAGAUAAAACUUUGAUGAUGCUGUAUCUCCCAUACCAGCCAGACUCCAGCCUUCUUUUAUAUGAGAGAGAAAUAAGCUUCUAUGUUGUUGAAAACACUGUUACUUCUUCAUUCACCCAGGACAUCACAAGCUUAGUGAUCUUGGAAAGGCUUUGACAGAGGAGUGAAAAACUGGCGUGUUUUGGUUUGUUUAUUUGUUUCAGUUAAAUAAACUGUAAGACAAAGGUGAUUUAAAAUGACAAAA